rnacentral:rRNA from 1 species
CAUGAACUGCUUUUGAAACUGCAAGACUUGAGUGAAGUAGAGGUAGGCGGAAUUCCCGGUGUAGCGGUGAAAUGCGUAGAGAUCGGGAGGAACACCAGUGGCGAAGGCGGCCUACUGGGCUUUAACUGACGCUGAGGCACGAAAGCAUGGGUAGCAAACAGGAUUAGAUACCCUGGUAGUCCAUGCCGUAAACGAUGAUUACUAGGUGUGGGGGGUCUGACCCCCUCCGUGCCGGAGUUAACACAAUAAGUAAUCCACCUGGGGAGUACGACCGCAAGGUUGAAACUCAAAGGAAUUGACGGGGGCCCGCACAAGCAGUGGAGUAUGUGGAUUAAUUCGAAGCAACGCGAAGAACCUUACCAGGUCUUGACAUCCAGCUAACGAAGUAGAGAUACAUUAGGUGCCCUUCGGGGAAAGCUGAGACAGGUGGUGCAUGGUUGUCGUCAGCUCGUGUCGUGAGAUGUUGGGUUAAGUCCCGCAACGAGCGCAACCCUUACUGUUAGUUGCUACGCAAGAGCACUCUAGCAGGACCGCCGUUGACAAAACGGAGGAAGGUGGGGAUGAUGUCAAAUCAUCAUGCCCCUUAUGACCUGGGCCUCACACGUACUACAAUGGCCGUAAACAGAGGGAAGCAAUACCGCGAGGUGGAGCAAAACCCUAAAAACGGUCCCAGUUCGGAUUGUAGGCUGCAACCCGCCUGCAUGAAGUUGGAAUUGCUAGUAAUCGCGGAUCAGCAUGCCGCGGUGAAUACGUUCCCGGGCCUUGUACACACCGCCCGUCACACCAUGGGAGCCGGUAAUACCCGAAGUCAGUAGUCUAACCGCAAGGAGGGCGCUGCCGAAGGUAGGAUUGGCGACUGGGGUGAAGUCGUAACAAGGUAACC